rnacentral:rRNA from 1 species
CGUAGGCUUGCCUACGGCCACGUCUGGCCGAGGGUCGGCU